UACGAAGGGGGCUAGCGUUGUUCGGAAUUACUGGGCGUAAAGGGCGCGUAGGCGGCGCUUCAAGUCAGAUGUGAAAGCCCCGGGCUCAACCUGGGAACAGCAUUUGAGACUGGAGUGCUUGAGUUCCGGAGAGGUGGGUGGAAUUCCCAGUGUAGAGGUGAAAUUCGUAGAUAUUGGGAAGAACACCGGUGGCGAAGGCGGCCCACUGGACGGAUACUGACGCUGAGGCGCGAAAGCGUGGGGAGCAAACAGG
rnacentral:rRNA from 1 species